ACGAAGGGGGCUAGCGUUGCUCGGAAUGACUGGGCGUAAAGGGCGCGUAGGCGGUUUGGACAGUCAGAUGUGAAAUUCCUGGGCUUAACCUGGGGGCUGCAUUUGAUACGUUCAGGCUAGAGUGUGAAAGAGGGUCGUGGAAUUCCCAGUGUAGAGGUGAAAUUCGUAGAUAUUGGGAAGAACACCGGUGGCGAAGGCGGCGACCUGGUUCAUUACUGACGCUGAGGCGCGAAAGCGUGGGGAGCAAACAGGAUUAGAUACCCUGGUAGUCCACGCCGUAAACGAUGUGUGCUGGAUGUUGGGUGACCUAGUCACUCAGUGUCGUAGCUAACGCGGUAAGCACACCGCCUGGGGAGUACGGCCGCAAGGUUG
rnacentral:rRNA from 1 species